rnacentral:lncRNA from 1 species
UUGGACUAUAUGCAGUAUGGACGGCGACGCCGUGCAGCUCAUUGGCGGCGUACGUGUGAUUCGAGCGAGCACCCGAGGCACCCCUAGCGUGACCUGUUCCAGAGACUUCGGCCUCCUUCCCGCACUAGCACCGGAUCACCGGUCAGGCUCCAUUGGGCCGAGGGGAAAAGGAGGCCGGCGAGCUUGAGCCACCGCCGCCGGUGAGAUCCGUGGCGGCUGAUCCGGGGGAGGUCGCUAGGCACGACGACGACGUUCCCCUCCCUCACGUUUUGACUUCCUACCGAAUUGGGGUGGGCGUGGCCUCGAUGUGGCUGUGGCCUCCGCAUCCUCCGGCGAUGCGGACGGCUCGUGCAUGCAGUGCGCUAGCUGUGGAUGUUCAGUGCAGGUGCGCAGUUCCGGCAUCAAUUUUUUUUGUAUACUCAUUUUAGUUGGCUGGAUGUAUGUAUUUGUGAAGUUCUAUAUAUUUUCUGAAGAGGGGUUCACUCUCCGAGAAGGAGAAAAAAUGUGUGAUUCGAUUGUUUAAGUGUAUGUGUGAGGUUCAUUAUAGUAUCUAGUGAAGUUUUAUAUUUUCUGAAGAGAGGUUUGCUCUCUGAGAAGGUGAGAAAAGUACAGAAAAAUCCCAGCAUGCAGUUCUUUUCACUGAGUAAAUAGAAAAAAAACAUCUCCAAAAGAAGCUAGCUUCUUAUUAGAUGAAGUUCACACCUAAGUUGGAAUACACGCCUAACAAAAG